rnacentral:rRNA from 1 species
GAUGAACGCUGGCGGCGUGCCUAAUACAUGCAAGUCGAGCGAACGGACGAGAAGCUUGCUUCUCUGAUGUUAGCGGCGGACGGGUGAGUAACACGUGGAUAACCUACCUAUAAGACUGGGAUAACUUCGGGAAACCGGAGCUCAUACCGGAUAAUAUUUUGAACCGCAUGGUUCAAAAGUGAAAGCCGGUCUUGCUGUCACUUAUAGAUGGAUCCGCGCUGCAUUAGCUAGUUGGUAAGGUAACGGCUUACCAAGGCAACGAUGCAUAGCCGACCUGAGAGGGUGAUCGGCCACACUGGAACUGAGACACGGUCCAGACUCCUACGGGAGGCAGCAGUAGGGAAUCUUCCGCAAAGGGCGAAAGCCUGACGGAGCAACGCCGCGUGAGUGAUGAAGGUCUUCGGAUCGUAAAACUCUGUUAUUAGGGAAGAACAUAUGUGUAAGUAACUGUGCACAUCUUGACGGUACCUAAUCAGAAAGCCACGGCUAACUACGUG